AUUGAACGCUGGCGGAAUGCUUUACACAUGCAAGUCGAACGGCAGCACGGACUUCGGUCUGGUGGCGAGUGGCGAACGGGUGAGUAAUGUAUCGGAACGUGCCCAGUCGUGGGGGAUAACGUAGUGAAAAUUACGCUAAUACCGCAUACGAUCUAUGGAUGAAAGCGGGGGAUCGCAAGACAUCGCGCGAUUGGAGCGGGCGAUAUCCGAUUAGGUACGUGGUGGGGUAAAGGCCCACCAAGCCAACGAUCUGUAGUUGGUCUGAGAGGACGACCAGCCACACUGGAACUGAGACACGGUCCAGGCUCCUACGGGAGGCAGCAGUGGGGAAUUUUGGACAAUGGGCGAAAGCCUGAUCCAGCCAUUCCGCGUGCAGGAUGAAGGCCCUCGGGUUGUAAACUGCUUUUGUACAGAACGAAAAGGUUUCUACUAAUACUAGGAGCUCAUGACGGUACUGUAAGAAUAAGCACCGGCUAACUACGUGCCAGCCGCCGCCGUAA
rnacentral:rRNA from 1 species